rnacentral:lncRNA from 1 species
GCAGCCCCCAACUUAGAAUUUUGCUUGUCCUCAAGCAAAACAAAAUGUAACUCAGUUUUCAAACAAUCAAUACAAUGGAUUAACACUUUCCAAACUCUUUCUUUCAAGACAAGUAAUCACUCUCAGCUCAUCAUAAAAAUAUCAGUCAAGAUGUAUAGAUGCAUUACUUCCAUUAAACUCAAUAUGGUGUUCACAUAAUCACACUCUUUCCAACAAAUGCUAUUUUCAUGAAUGACCAAUUAACCAAGCACAUAUGCAAUCAUGCAUAACUGGAACUACUCCUCACCAAGAACGUGUUUCACUCAAGCACACAGGUGUAUAGAGAGGUGACUCAUUCUCUCUACUAUCACAAUGUCACACAAAUUAACUUUGUCUUUCAUUUAACCACAAUCGAUCAUUCUCACAAGCAAGUUAUCAUCACAAGGACUUUCCAUGACUUAUAAUGAGGCUGGGCUUAACAAGAAAAAUUAGUUUUUCUAGAUCACAAAAUCCUUGAGUUAAGAGAGUUAUUUGAAAAUUUAUCAUUCAAGCACAAACUCUCUUUAAACAAUCAAUCUCACUCAUUCCCAACUUUCCCCUUUUUGCAUUGAGCUUAUCUUUUUCUUUCAUUCUAUCUUUUCUAUCUUUUCAUGUUUUGCUCAACGCUUUAGCUCAAUACUUAUCUUUUCUUUUUCAACUAUCCCAACAGCCCCUAACUUGAACCUUUAUCAAUACCACACAAUAAUUCUCAACUUAAGUCAAGGUAAAGGUUUUUAAAAGGGUUUUCACAUACUUUUUAAG